GACGAACGCUGGCGGCGUGCCUAAUACAUGCAAGUAGAACGCUGAGGGAGGAGCUUGCUUCUCUGGAUGAGUGGCGAACGGGUGAGUAACGCGUAGGUAACCUGCCUUGUAGCGGGGGAUAACUAUUGGAAACGAGAGCUAAUACCGCAUAAGAGCAGAUGUUGCAUGACAUUUGCUUAAAAGGUGCAAUUGCUUCACUACCAGAUGCACCUGCGUUGUAUUAGCUAGUUGGUGGGGUAACGGCUUACCAAGGCGACGAUACAUAGCCGACCGGCGAGGGGGAGCGGCCACCCUGGGACGGAGACACGGCCCAGACUCAUACGGGAGGCAGCAGGAGGGAAUCUUGGGCAAUGGGCGGAAGUUUGAGCAAGCAGCGCGGAGUGAGGGAACAAGGUUGUCGGAUCGUAAAGCUCUGUUGUAAGAGAAGAACCAGUGUGAGCGUGGAAAGUUCACACUGUGACGGUAACUGACCAGAAAGGGACGGCUAACUACGUG
rnacentral:rRNA from 1 species